rnacentral:rRNA from 1 species
AGCUCCAAUAGCGUAUAUUAAAGUUGUUGCAGUUAAAAAGCUCGUAGUUGGACCUCGGAGCAGGUUGAUUGGUCCGUCCUGAAGGAUGCUGUACUGAUCGGUCUGCUCUUCUUCGCGAAGACUCCGUGUGCCCUUAACUGGGUGGGCGAAGGAUUCGCGACGUUUACUUUGAAAAAAUUAGAGUGUUCAAAGCAGGCAAUCGCUUGGAUAUCUCAGCAUGGAAUAAUAGAAUAGGACUUUGGUCUUAUUUUGUUGGUUUCCGAGACCGAAGUAAUGAUUAAUAGGGACAGUUGGGGGCAUUCGUAUUUCAUUGUCAGAGGUGAAAUUCUUGGAUUUAUGAAAGACGAACUACUGCGAAAGCAUUUGCCAAGGAUGUUUUCA